rnacentral:rRNA from 1 species
UACGGAGGGUGCAAGCGUUGUCCGGAUUUAUUGGGUUUAAAGGGUGCGUAGGCGGCUUUUUAAGUCAGUGGUGAAAGCCUCCAGCUUAACUGGAGAACAGCCAUUGAUACUGAAGAGCUUGAGUACAGACGAGGUAGGCGGAAUUUAUGGUGUAGCGGUGAAAUGCAUAGAUACCAUAAAGAACUCCUAUUGCGAAGGCAGCUUACUAGGCUGUAACUGACGCUGAGGCACGAAAGCGUGGGGAGCAAACAGG